UGAGGUCUAAGCAUGUGGCAAGCAUUAAAAGCAAUGGAGAGGCAUCUUCAAGAUAAAUAGGAGCCUAGGAGCUGAUCUCCAUGCAGAAGAUGAUGAGUUGAGAUCCUGCGCAGAAAACACAGUUAAGAGAAGAGCCUAAGGAUUUCAGAGAAGGAAACGAAGGGACUUUCUCAUCCCCGGUUCACCCGAAUGUGCACCAUACAGUCUGGUGAAGGUGACAAGAAAGGAGGAAAGAAGUAUCAGACCAGCUGCCCGGAGUCCGACAUUAGCCGGAGCGAACCUAAUUACUGUUAGGCAAGAGAGCCUAAUGCGACGUGCUGCAUACACGGCCUUCCAUUCCAUUCUUGUUCGCUUCUGGUUUCAGAGGAGCCUGGAAUUUCAUUGGAGGCGAAGGAUUAUGUUCCCUCUGCUCGAUACUCUAGGAUGAAAUACGAUUGCUGAUUUUUAUUGCCAAACAAUCCUUGGAGUUUGUGGCAGUUUGGAGACAGCAGCUGGCCCAGGCAGGCCUGUUAACUCUGGCAUGUUAAGGACCCUUCAGAAGAUUUCAAAUCCAGCCUCAGCACCCAGCAUUUUCCCCAGGGAACCUCCAGUUGAAAAGGGCCAGCCUGGAAGAGAGUGCGCCAAUGAUCAAAGUGGCCGCAUAUGAUGGUCCCAGACUGAUGCCUGUCUUCCCACUGAAGGAGACUUUCUUCCCUGGAUGAGAUCCAGCCUCCGCUCUGAAGGUGCUGACACUUCAGAUCUUAGGCUGAAGAGUUUAGAAAAAAAAAAAAAAGAAGAAGAAGAAGAAGAAUGACAUACUUUCUACCACGUUAUUCAGUCAGCAUGAGGAACUAGAGAGCACCAAGUCUGUAUAGGGUCUGGAUCCAGAAGGUUGAAUGAAGCUGCAGUGAAUUUGAAGCAUGCCACACCUUUUCUCACCUGAGUCAUCAGAGAUGCAGUUGCCAACUUCCGAAGGCGGAAGAAGUAAAUGGCAGUCGAGUGCCUCUCUGCACACCACGUUGGGGAGGGUGUUGUGUCCAGUAGUGUCUCCACGCCUGACUAGAAUGUCUGAGUAGAUGCUUCUGUAUGCAUUAGUUCAGUUCAUCUUUACAUCUACCUUGCCAGGUAGGUUUUUCUAAGCCCAUUUUAUGGACAAGAAACUGAGGCUUCAAGAGUUUCAAACUGACACCAGAAAAUGAUGGCCCAUGGACCAAAACUGGCUCAUUCUUGCUUUUGUAAAACUGCUUUAUUGGAACUCAGUGACACCCGUGUACAAUAUAGUGAUUCAACACUUCCAGACAUCACCCGGUGCUCAUCACGACAAGUGUACGUCUUAAUCUCUGAGUAAUUUUCUAACAAGACAGUACUGCCUGAGGGGAGUCGGUCAUCCUGUCUCCUACUUCCUGGUAACCCUCCAAGCCAGCAGAGCCUUUUCAGUGCUGGUUGCUGGUUUCCACUGGAGAGGCCAUUCUCCUUUCCUGGAGAAAACUGAAGACGUUAUUGAGGAGGAAAAUGACUCCGUGAGCUCUACCUGGUCAACUCCAACUUGAGCCUGAAAGUUACACAAUUUCCAAGUGUCAGGCCAGGACUCUCUGCCAAAGACAAGUUCGUUUCCCUUCCUCUCCCCUCCACUAAGAUUCUCCUGGGAUUUUUUCAUACACACUCGUCUGCAUUGCCUUCUCUCUCCUCCAUACCAAGGGUAUUGAGUAAAUUAGUCAUUUGGUUUAAAAAAAAUAAGUCAACCUCAACCAUUAUUAGAUGGCACUUGGGCUUAAUCAAAAGAAAUGUUUGAGAGAAUUUUUCGGUUUUUAUCUGCUUAUUAGUGAGCACUGAGUUUCUGUGCAGAUGGAAUUAAAAUGAACCAACAGUGUUCUCUACACAGUCUUGUGAAUCUAAGUACAACAAUUUUCCUGUUUAGUCUUCGGCUGAGUGCUGGGGCUCAGUGAUGGCAAUCGAGGGUUUUCCACUUGCUCCUCUGGUCCGGUUCAGCUGAGACCCAGACCACUCAGGGACAACGGGGGCCUGCCAAGCUCAUCUGCCCCCUCCACCGCUGGCAGUGGAGUGCGCUGACGUGAGGCUGUACCGGACAUGGAGUUCAGGAAGAUAGCACUGAUUCCUAAUGAGUUUUUAGCCUCUCCUUUCAAAUUUUCUGUUUUGCUAAUGCUCUACAAUGUAUCUAAUUUAUUAGUUCAGUUGUAGAUGUACCGGAAGUGUGUGCUCAAAAAAUCUUCACUGAUUUGGGAUAAGACUCACAAAACUGUUCAGAAACCACUGCCCCAGAGCAGGAGAGGCAUUUAGCCCCAACACUGGCUUGUAUCUGAGUCUGUAGGACCCCUGGUAUGACCUGUUUUCUUUAUAACCUCUGCGACAGUAACAGUUCUUUGGGGGAAGUCGGAUAAUGACACUAACACUUCAUUUUUUUCUUCCUUCUGAUCGUGUGUUACGUUUUUACCCACAAAAAUGAAUUAAUGUGUUUGUCCCAAACACCCCAUUCUUCAUGGCCUCGCUCUGGCAGUCCCGGGACAAAGGCGACGUAUCUAAAUGGGAGGGAGAGGUGAUGACAAUCAGGUAGGAGCUCGGCUUCAUCUGGCCUUUUUCACAGAGCAAGCAGCACCCCUAGCACAGAAUCACAGACGCUCGGAGCUGGAGGAAAACCAGAUAACACCGAAAAAUUCACUCCAGCAAUUAUUUCUGAUUAAGCCUAUUUGGCAUCUAAUAAUGAUGGAGAUGAAUGCAUUUAAAGCAAAUGACUAAUUUUUAAUGCUCACUUUUCCAGUGAGUGACCGUUGGGACUCCUCGGGUGACCCUCAGUCACCUUGGAUUCACCUUAAUUUCCUAAACAGGCAUGCAGAUUCCGUUCAUUAUGCAGGAAGCUCUUUUUGCCGCGGUGAGCAUUGUCUCACCUCCUCUUGACUUCUGUUAAUCUGACAGCCACACAGUCCCGUCUUGGGGAAUACUGCAAAGCAUCUCCAAUUCAAUAGCAUUUCUGUGGUCGAGGGGUUUUAUGUAAUUACAGAAGUUCUGUAGUUGAUUUGAAUGUUAUAUCCCUGUUGUGGAAUUAUGUUUGGACUUCAUCCUAAAGGACCAGGAAGGGCUUGUGUUUGUUUUGUUUGAACAUUUCUUAUCACAGAACUAUGCUGGAGACAAACCCCAAUGACACAAACACUCAAAAGCCACCUUCAGAUGUAAUAUUGAUUUAUAAAACAACAGUGCACAGUUGCCAGGCUCCACUCUUGAAUGCAGAGGGUCUUCAAUUCCCAACAAAUGACUGGCAUUUCUACCAAUUUACAAAUUAGAGUUUCCUCUGACUAUCUCACAGUUCUUAAUAUUCCAGUCACCUUCCUCUUCAGCCUUCCCUCUUGAAAUAUGUGCGUGGGGAGGAGGGGGCAGCGAGAAAGUAGAGCAUUUGUAAAAUUGGAGUUAAAAAAAUCUAGAUCAACUUUUAUCCUUAGGCAAAUUAUGCACAGAGUUAAAUUAAACCACUAUAUGUACUUGUAGAUUGAAGAAUCAGAGGUGGAGGAGGGGUCAGAGACACUGAGAUCAAAGUUUCUGUUCUUUGAACAAAAUCCCUUUGAAAAGCCCCCAUGCCACCUAUUCUGCUUGUUAAUGUUUUGACUGGGAGUGUCUAGCGGUGUCAGCAGCAGCGGCAUAUUUUUAAUACCAUAGUCUUAAAAUUUUCUGUAUGCAACUAGCUCUACUUAGCAAAGCACCAGAUCCUUUGCCAGCUCUGUUAUAGGUCUCUUAGGGGAAUAUUUUUGUUAAUUGCAAAUAUUUGAUUGACAAACAUAGGAUGCAAUUAGCAGUCAGGCACAGUAGGAAUGUGCAGUGAACUGGAUCCCUGAACCAACGGAUCUCAACUCUCUCAGCUUGAUCUAAAAUCGACUAGAGCAUUUCAACCAUAUGUUUGCCUCAAACUUCCUCUUUCCCGUGAACGCUGUUAUUUCCCCAAACUCGCUUCUUUUCACAUUGGUUCACCAAGGGAGCUAAUUCCUCUCUGAUCAAGCCAAAUAAAGAAAGAAAA